rnacentral:rRNA from 1 species
CCUACGGGAGGCAGCAGUGGGGAAUAUUGGACAAUGGGGGCAACCCUGAUCCAGCCAUGCCGCGUGUGUGAAGAAGGCCCUCGGGUUGUAAAGCACUUUCAGUGAGGAAGAACGCCUGGUGGUUAAUACCCAUCAGGAAAAACAUCACUCACAGAAGAAGCACCGGCUAACUCCGUGCCAGCAGCCGCGGUAAUACGGAGGGUGCGAGCGUUAAUCGGAAUUACUGGGCGUAAAGCGCGCGUAGGUGGCUUGAUAAGCCGGUUGUGAAAGCCCCGGGCUCAACCUGGGAACGGCAUCCGGAACUGUCAAGCUAGAGUGCAGGAGAGGAAGGUAGAAUUCCCGGUGUAGCGGUGAAAUGCGUAGAGAUCGGGAGGAAUACCAGUGGCGAAGGCGGCCUUCUGGACUGACACUGACACUGAGGUGCGAAAGCGUGGGUAGCAAACAGGAUUAGAUACCCGAGUAGUC